rnacentral:lncRNA from 1 species
AGAUUCUGAUAAAGACACAGGGAGGGAGAAGUCGAACCGAAGACUUUGUUUUUUUGUCCAUUUGUUCUUCAGCCUUCCAAAGAGAAAGCUCUCGGUGAGACUGCCUCCAGAUGUCCUCACGUACACUUGGGUUGAUAAAAGCCCGACGUGUGCACCACGAAGAUGGACCAGAGCUGAGGACCAAACCCAGGCUAGGCAAGCGCUCUACCACUGAGCUACACUCCCAACCCCUUCACCUUGCCAUUCUGACCUGGAAGCAGUCAGUGUUUGGAGUUUGGAAACUCUUUUUCUUGUAGGAAAAAGUGCUCUCCCCGUGUCUUUGAAGGUGGCAGCUUGCAGAAAGGAAAUGGAAUGGAGCAACACCAUAGCAGAAGAAGCAGCUUGCUUCAGACUCUCUCAGGCUACAGGAUAGCUUCCCCAGAGAGACGAUGGAUAUGGGCCAGAGGUCAGCCAUUCACCGUGAAUUCACACAUGGAGAGAAGAGCUAGUGGCCUCGGCAGCUCUCUUCCUGAUCGGAGCCUUGGCUGUUCUUCUUCCAAACAUUCUUCCAAAUGUUCCACCUGCACCCGCUCACCUCUGUCUCACCUCUGCCGUCGUGUUCAGACUCGGCUUCACAUCUAACCCUGGCCUUGAUCCAACUUCUUCCUAGGCCAGAUGUCCUACAGGCCUGCCGAGGGGAAGAGUCCUUCAUCCCAUACUGAGCAGGUAAGAUGAGAGGACUAGGACUUCUGAACAAGGCACCACUGCUCCAAGGAUCCAUAUUUGUCCUCUCAAAGCUGUGUAUCCAAUGCUGUGAUUAAUAAUCUUUAUGUAAAGGACAGCAGAGACCUGAAGUAAUGCUUACUCUUAGACGGAGACUUUUGAAACUCUCAGAGUUACUGGCUCCCAAAUUGGGAUUCACAGGUGUAACGCACUGUGCUACGUGGACUGUUUCUGAGUCAAGCUCUCUCCUAAUCUAAGGUGACAUCAGUGGGAACUGCUGCACUGCUUUAUGUACCACGGAGACAGGAAAGCGUGCUGACCACUAAGCCUUAUUUUUAUAGUAAGAUGCGUCAAGUUUAGAGAGGUUAAAAUGAGGAUCAUGAAAAACAGUUGCAUCCAUGUUGUUAGGGCAAAAUAACUAUCUUUAUAAAGAGCUUAAGUCAAGAAUCUAUACACAGUGAUAUCUCUCUCAAUCAGUGUUAGAUAGGAAGGUGAGUUAUUCAGUGAUCUUGUGUUUCAUCUUAGCAGAAGGCUAUAUCCCAGGGUUUCACUGACUCAUGGCAGAGUGACGUCUAGAUCAACUCAAUGAUCUGGUUUCGAGGAGCUGAGUAGGUCAGAAUAGAGUGAGAUGUGAGUGCUCCACUUGCGUCCGAGGGAAGCCCUACAGGUCUGUUAGGGCAGGACAAGAGAUCUGGAGCCCCUGAAUUCUGCAAACAAAGCCUAGUAGGUAAAGUCUGGGUGAGAAACUCACUGAUACUUUAACAACGAAGGUGUGAACGGGCAGAGUGACCAGUGGGGACGCGGUACUCACUGUCUAAGACAGAGUGUUUGUGUCCUUAAAGGUGUUGGCAUGAUGGAGAGGUUGCUCCACCCACCAGAAAAGGGAGAAAAAAAGGUUGCCAUGGCAACUCCUUCCCUGUGAAGUUUUUUGAAGAGUGACAUGCCCUUGUUCCUUUCUCAAAGCUAUUCUUCUCUACUCUCCUUUCUCAUUGCUCUUGAUGCUACACUUUCCAAUAUUAUAGUUAGGACCUGAUCCGGAAUGAGUGGCUAGGACUCCUAGUCUUUCACAAGGAGUGGAAGCCAGAGAAAGGACACAGCAGGAGACAGUAAGGUAGGCAACUCUCCUAAAUGAAGAAGAUGGCAGAAGCAUUCCUUGGUGGGUUGGGGUUACAUGAUGCAGAAGGCAUUCACCUACCUCAGAAAGUAGGACCCACCCACCCCUGACCUCUCCAUGAUGGCAGAACCUGUUUUAGAUAGGCAUAGAGGGAAAAGAGGAUGUGGCUUGACUCUACACAAGCUGUGUUGAAGAGGGCAGUCACGGUGAUAAGGGUGGUCUCAAAGGCUGUGGCUUCUGCGUCUUUUCAGUAUCUGACUAGGGGGUUUCACGGUUCGGAAGGCUCAGGGAGGAGACCACGUAUUUGUUAGUUUCCUGUUGGCUGGUCACUGUGGUUUGCCUGGAUACAUCAUGUGUGAAGCAUGCUCAACACUGACACACACACUCUCUCUCUCUCUCCCCACCCCCCACCUCCUUCCCCCUCUCUCUUGUAACAGAAAGGUACAAUAAAGCCAUUUAAAAAAA